rnacentral:snRNA from 1 species
GUACAUCGUUGGAGAUCUCAUGUACA